CAAUAGCGUAUAUUAAAGUUGUUGCAGUUAAAAAGCUCGUAGUUGGAUUUCUGGUAGGAGCGACCGGUCCGCCCUGUUAAGGGUGUGUACUAGCGUUGUCUCUGGCCAUCCUUGGGGGAACUGCGCGGGGAGACUUGCGUUAGGGAACCCAUCGUUUACUGUGAAAAAAUUAGAGUGUUUAAAGCAGGCUUAAGCCGUUGAAUACAUUAGCAUGGAAUAAUAAGAUAAGACUUGGGUCAUUAUUUUGUUGGUUUGCGGAUCGAGGUAAUGAUUAAUAGGGAUAGUUGGGGGUAUUCAUAUUUAAUUGUCAGAGGUGAAAUUCUUGGAUUUAUGAAAGAUGAACUUAGGCGAAAGCAUUUACCAAGGAUGUUUUCAUUAAUCAAGAACGAAAGUUAGGGGAUCGAAGAUGAUUAGAUACCAU
rnacentral:rRNA from 1 species